rnacentral:misc_RNA from 1 species
GGGUACCGUUCGUCGUCAGGCCGUCGAUGUUUCGCCCCUGCGUCGAGUUAACCAGGCGAUCGCCCUCCUUACCAUUGGCACCCGCGAGUCCGCUUUCCGUAACGUCAAGUCGAUUGCAGAAUGUCUCGCCGAUGAGCUCAUCAACGCGGCGAAAGGCUCAUCAAACUCCUACGCCAUCAAGAAAAAGGAUGAGCUUGAGCGUGUCGCCAAG